AAUGAGCCUAGAAGGGUUGCAGGUGUGGCUGCUGUGUCACAUGUGCAUCAGUAGGUAGCAGAGAGGAGAGAGAGCAUGUCUACACUCACUGUUUUGACCUCUGAACAUCUGAAUAAUUAGUAGCCUGACACU